CCUACGGGUGGCUGCAGUGAGGAAUAUUGGUCAAUGGGCGCGAGCCUGAACCAGCCAAGUCGCGUGAAGGAUGAAUGUCCUACGGGUUGUAAACCUCUUUUAUAAGGGAAUAAAGUGAGGCACGUGUCCCUUUUUGUAGGUAUUUUAUGAAUAAGGAUCGGCUAACUCCGUGCCAGCAGCCGCGGUAAUACGGAGGAUCCGAGCGUUAUCCGGAUUUAUUGGGUUUAAAGGGAGGGUCGGAGGGUUGGUAAGUCAGUUGUGAAAGUUUGUGGCUUAACCGUCAAAUGGCAUUUGAUACUGGCAGCCUUGAGUACGGGUGAGGUAGGCGGAAUGCGUGGUGUAGCGGUGAAAUGCGUUGAUAUCACGAAGAACCCCGAUUGCGAAGGCAGCCUACUAGA
rnacentral:rRNA from 1 species